UACAGAGGUCCCAAGCGUUGUUCGGAUUCACUGGGCGUAAAGGGUGCGUAGGCGGUCGGGUAAGUCUGAUGUGAAAUCUCACAGCUUAACUGUGAAACUGCAUUGGAUACUAUUCGGCUUGAGAGUUGGAGGGGGGACUGGAAUUCUUGGUGUAGCAGUGAAAUGCGUAGAUAUCAAGAGGAACACCAGUGGCGAAGGCGAGUCCCUGGACAACUUCUGACGCUGAGGCACAAAAGCUAGGGGAGCAAACAGG
rnacentral:rRNA from 1 species